rnacentral:lncRNA from 1 species
GAUUAGUCCAUAUUUUUGCAAAUUUAAGUGCCUAUUUUUUGUUUAUUUUCGUAGUAUUAAUCGCUUAUUUAUUUUAUUUCAGGAAAUUGUAGAUAAAUAAAGAAGGAAGAGAAAAUGCAAGAAAAAGAAGAAAAAGAAAAAGGGUUGGCAAGUAAAGGACACAUGGAUGGCCACAAUUCUCCCAACACUCAAGGCACAUGGAUGGUCAAGAU